AGCUGCUGCAGGAGUGGUGGUGGUGACAGCUGCUGCAGGAGUGGUGGUGGUGACAGCUGCUGCAGGAGUGGUGGUGGUGACAGCUGCUGGAGGAGUGGUGGUGGUACCAGCUGCUGCAGGAGUGGUGGUGGUACCAGCUGCUGGAGGAGUGGUGGUGGUACCAGCUGCUGGAGGAGUGGUGGUGGUACCAGCUGCUGGAGGAGUGGUGGUGGUACCAGCUGCUGGAGGACUGGUGGUGGUGACAGCUGCUGGAGUGGUGGUGGUACCAGCUGCUGGAGGAGUGGUGGUGGUAACAGCUGCUGCAGGAGUGGUGGUGGUGACUGCUGCUACUGGAGUGGUGGUGGUGACAGCUGCUGCAGGAGUGGUGGUGGUGACAGCUGCUGCAGGAGUGGUGGUAGUGACAGCUGCUGGAGGAGUGGUGGUGGUGACAGCGGCUGCAGGGGUGGUGGUGGUGACAGCUGCUGCAGGGGUGGUGGUGGUGACAGCUGCUGCAGGGGCGGUAGUGGUGAGAGGUGCUGCAUGAGUGGUGGUGGUGAGAGGUGCUGCAGGGGCGGUGGUGGUGAGAGGUGCUGCAUGAGUGGUGGUGGUGACAGCUGCUGCAGGGAGGGUGGUGGUGACAGCUGCUGCAGGGGCGGUAGUGGUGAGAGGUGCUGCAGAAGUGGUGGUGAGAGGUGCUGCAGGGGCGGUAGUAGUGAGAGGUGCUGCAUGAGUGGUGGUGGUGACAGCUGCUGCAGGGGCGGUAGUGGUGAGAGGUGCUGCAGAAGUGGUGGUGAGAGGUGCUGCAGGGGCGGUAGUAGUGAGAGGUGCUGCAUGAGUGGUGGUGGUGACAGCUGCUGCAGGGGCGGUAGUGGUGAGAGGUGCUGCAGGGGCGGUGGUGGUGAGAGGUGCUGCAGGAGUGGUGGUGGUGACAGCUGCUGCAGGGGCGGUAGUGGUGAGAGGUGCUGCAGAAGUGGUGGUGACAGCUGCUGCAGGGGCGGUAGUGGUGAGAGGUGCUGCAUGAGUGGUGGUGGUGACAGCUGCUGCAGGGGCGGUAGUGGUGAGAGGUGCUGCAGGGGCGGUGGUGGUGAGAGGUGCUGCAUGAGUGGUGGUGGUGACAGCUGCUGCAGGGGCGGUGGUGGUGACAGCUGCUGCAGGGGCGGUGGUGGU
ensembl:lncRNA